AAACACAUUAUGAGUGAAUCCUUGAUGAUUUAAAAAAAAAUUUUUUGGUCUUAUUUGUAUUUCAGACCCUGGAAUAAAUCUGUGACCAGAGUUCAGCUUGGGUGGUGAAGCUGAAGCUACAGAGAUAAGAAACUGCCUGAAAUGUCUCCAUGUACCUGCACUAUGGUCAUGGAAAACUUCUCAGGCAUUUGUCUUCACCUGCAGCUCCUCUCUCACCAGCUGACCCCUUGCUGUCCUCAUCUUGCACGGCAGCUCCAGGAAAACCUUCCCACAUGUGGCAGUGCUCACUGGCUCUCAGACAGGCUCUGACCUGUGAAUGUUGUGUGAGCCAUGACCUGUUCCUGGUUUGGCUCAGCACGGCUUGCCUGGACAGAUGGUGAGUAAUGGCAUGCACCGCCUACUUGUCUUUCUG
rnacentral:lncRNA from 1 species